GGAGUUAGCCGGUGCUUCUUCUGUGAGUGAUGUCCUUCCUGCCGGCUAUUAACCCGCAGGCCUUCUUCCUCACUGAAAGUGCUUUACAACCCGAAGGCCUUCUUCACACACGCGGCAUGGCUGGAUCAGGGUUGCCCCCAUUGUCCAAUAUUCCCCACUGCUGCCUCCCGUAGGAGUCUGGGCCGUGUCUCAGUCCCAGUGUGGCUGAUCAUCCUCUCAGACCAGCUACGGAUCGUCGCCUUGGUGAGCCGUUACCUCACCAACCAGCUAAUCCGACAUAGGCUCAUCCGAUAGCGCGAGGCCCGAAGGUCCCCCGCUUUCCCCCGUAGGGCGUAUGCGGUAUUAGCCUGGGUUUCCCCAGGUUAUCCCCCACUACCGGGCAGAUUCCUAUGCAUUACUCACCCGUCCGCCGCUCGCCACCAGGGAGCAAGCUCCCCGUGCUGCCGCUCGACUUGCAUGUGUUAGGACUGCCGCCAGCGUUCAAUCUGAGCCAGGAUCAAACUCUGA
rnacentral:rRNA from 1 species